rnacentral:rRNA from 1 species
AUACGUAGGUGGCAAGCGUUGUCCGGAAUUACUGGGUGUAAAGGGAGCGUAGGCGGGAAAAUAAGUUGAAUGUGAAAUCUAUGGGCUUAACCCAUAUCAGCGUUCAAAACUGUUUUUCUUGAAUGAAGUAGAGGUAGGCGGAAUUCCUAGUGUAGCGGUGAAAUGCGUAAAUAUUAGGAGGAACACCAGUGGCGAAGGCGGCCUACUGGGCUUUAAUUGACGCUGAGUCACGAAAGCGUGGGUAGC